GACGAACGCUGGCGGCGUGCCUAAUACAUGCAAGUCGAGCGGAUUGAUGGGAGCUUGCUCCCUGAUAUCAGCGGCGGACGGGUGAGUAAUACGUGGGCAACCUGCCUAUAAGACCGGGAUAACUUCGGGAAACCGGAGCUAAUACCGGAUAAUCCCUUUCCCCUCAUGAGGAAAGGCUGAAAGAUGGUUUACGCUAUCACUUAUAGAUGGGCCCGCGGCGCAUUAGCUAGUUGGUGAGGUAACGGCUCACCAAGGCAACGAUGCGUAGCCGACCUUAGAGGAUGAUCGGCCUCACUGGGACUGAGACACGGCCCAGACUCCUACGGGAGGCAGCAGUAGGGAAUCUUCCGCAAUGGACGAAAGUCUGACGGAGCAACGCCGCGUGAGUGAUGAAGGUUUUCGGAUCGUAAAACUCUGUUGUUAGGGAAGAACAAGUACGAGAGUAACUGCUCGUACCUUGACGGUACCUAACCAGAAAGCCACGGCUAACUACGUGCCAGCAGCCGCCGUAA
rnacentral:rRNA from 1 species